GACGGGGGGGCAAGUGUUCUUCGGAAUGACUGGGCGUAAAGGGCACGUAGGCGGUGAAUCGGGUUGAAAGUGAAAGUCGCCAAAAAGUGGCGGAAUGCUCUCGAAACCAAUUCACUUGAGUGAGACAGAGGAGAGUGGAAUUCGUGUGUAGGGGUGAAAUGCGCAGAUAUCGGGAGGAACACCUAUGGCGAAGGCAGCUCGCUGGGACGUUACUGACGCUGAGACGCGAAAGCGUGGGGAGCAAACAGG
rnacentral:rRNA from 1 species